UACGGGGGGUGCGAGCGUUGUCCGGAAUCACUGGGCGUAAAGGGCGCGUAGGUGGUUUGAUAAGGGUGUGGUGAAAGUCCGGGGCUCAACCCCGGAUCUGCCGUGCCGACUGUCAAACUCGAGGGCUGUAGAGGCAGACGGAAUUCCGGGUGUAGCGGUGGAAUGCGUAGAGAUCCGGAGGAAGACCGGUGGCGAAGGCGGUCUGCUGGGCAGUUCUGACACCGAUGCGCGACAGCGUGGGGAGCAAACAGG
rnacentral:rRNA from 1 species